rnacentral:rRNA from 1 species
AUUGAACGCUGGCGGCAUGCUUUACACAUGCAAGUCGAACGGCAGCGCGGGGCAACCUGGCGGCGAGUGGCGAACGGGUGAGUAAUAUAUCGGAACGUACCCAAGAGUGGGGGAUAACAUUUGGAAACAGAUGCUAAUACCGCAUAAGAUUACAGUACCGCAUGAUACAGUGAUCAAAGGAGCAAUCCGCUGAAAGAUGGGCUCGCGUCCGAUUAGAUAGUUGGUGAGGUAACGGCUCACCAAGUCGACGAUCGGUAGCCGGACUGAGAGGUUGAACGGCCACAUUGGGACUGAGACACGGCCCAGACUCCUACGGGAGGCAGCAGUGGGGAAUAUUGCACAAUGGGCGAAAGCCUGAUGCAGCAACGCCGCGUGAGGGAAGACGGUUUUCGGAUUGUAAACCUCUGUUUUCGGUGACGAACAAAUGACGGUAACCGAGUAGGAAGCCACGGCUAACUACGUG